CUGGUGGCGAGCGGCGGACGGGUGAGUAAUACCUAGGAAUCUGCCUGGUAGUGGGGGAUAACGUUCGGAAACGGACGCUAAUACCGCAUACGUCCUACGGGAGAAAGCAGGGGACCUUCGGGCCUUGCGCUAUCAGAUGAGCCUAGGUCGGAUUAGCUAGUUGGUGAGGUAAUGGCUCACCAAGGCUACGAUCCGUAACUGGUCUGAGAGGAUGAUCAGUCACACUGGAACUGAGACACGGUCCAGACUCCUACGGGAGGCAGCAGUGGGGAAUAUUGGACAAUGGGCGAAAGCCUGAUCCAGCCAUGCCGCGUGUGUGAAGAAGGUCUUCGGAUUGUAAAGCACUUUAAGUUGGGAGGAAGGGCCGUUACCUAAUACGUGAUGGUUUUGACGUUACCGACAGAAUAAGCACCGGCUAACUCUGUGCCAGCAGCCGCGGUAAUACAGAGGGUGCAAGCGUUAAUCGGAAUUACUGGGCGUAAAGCGCGCGUAGGUGGUUCGUUAAGUUGGAUGUGAAAUCCCCGGGCUCAACCUGGGAACUGCAUUCAAAACUGUCGAGCUAGAGUAUGGUAGAGGGUGGUGGAAUUUCCUGUGUAGCGGUGAAAUGCGUAGAUAUAGGAAGGAACACCAGUGGCGAAGGCGACCACCUGGACUGAUACUGACACUGAGGUGCGAAAGCGUGGGGAGCAAACAGGAUUAG
rnacentral:rRNA from 1 species